UUUCUGCACUUCCUACAUACUUCUACUUCAAACCAUAUUCAGUAAGGAAAUGAUCAGUUUGGAACAGUCCAGUCCACAAAUUGAAUCAGUAAGAAAAAGCCUAGCUCAGAACUGUUCAAAUGCUGAGUACAGAGUGGAACAGUCCACUUAUUGAAUUCAUGUUGCUUGGAAUUAUCCACAUUUCAUGUGGAACAUCUCAUUCACUCUGACAGAUUUGAAGAGAUAAGAGUAUGAAAUGAAUCAAGUGAAUUUAUGGAUUUUGCACUGGUACAUUGUUAUUUGCCUUGCUCUAAACAUCAGUGCAAUCUAUAAUCUUGUUUUAUAUAUAUAUAUAUCAUUAUUAUGAACUCGUAUGCUAAUUUAUUAUUGCAGUCAAUUAUUUGCGCAAACAGCAUGCAUUGAUAUUAUUUUUUGUUCUAUUUAUUUAUUCUCUUUGUUGUUCUACCGUAAACAGAGAAAUGUUGAGCUUCCUACGGUACAAGAGAUGUCCAGGUUGACAAGAUUUUGUUUUAUUUUUCUGUGUCCAGUAGUGAGUUUUUUUUUGUUUCACAGUGUACUUUAAUUGAGACUGCAUGAAAUUCCCAAUUAAGAUAUGAAAUCAUGAUCAUGGAGGGUUGUUGGUUUCUGGUUUGAAAAUAAAUAACUGUUGGAUUUUAGUAGUUAUACAUGUAUUUUAUUCGGUGAAGAAGAGAAAUACCAGUGCAUGUACUAAAAGAUUGUUUAGAGCAUUUUAUGUGUUUUUGUUUUAAUUGUUUAAACAUUUGGUUUCUAGCACGUACAUUUUGAAAUAAAAUUUGAUAUGGCUAGUACAUGAACCUUACUUUGUAAUUCAUUAUGAACCAAGACUCUUUUACAUUCAUUUGCAAGAUAUCAAGACUACAGCUUUGAUACAAAUGUAUAUUAUUGAUAUGAUUCAAUACACUGGGCAAAAAAUGGCCUGAUUACAUGUACCAGAAUAUCAGCCUAUUUCAAUAGUAGUACGUACAUGUACACAUUUCCUUUUGUCUAAUUUUAAUUAGCAUUUAUAUAAUUUGUGUAUGGUAUAUGUUUUUUAACUAGGUCAACAGUUAUACAUUUUAAGUAUUGAAUCUUUAUUCUCUCCCCCCCCCCCCCCCCCCCCCCCCCCCCCCCCCCCCCCCCAAAAAAAAAAAAAAAACUUCGGGGUUAAAUUUCCCUUAUGGAUGUAAAAGUAGGAACCAAUAAGCUUGGAGUUACAUGUACAUUUAGGUAGUGUGAUUUGAAAAUCUUCCUAAAUUAAGGAAUCCUGAGUAAGGGUUGUUUUCACAUGGCAAGCAAUGACAGAUCCUGAAUAUAACAUGUGUCAUGCCCAUUGAUUUUUGUUUUAUAUAUGAUAAUAUACAAGAACAUUAAAUUAAAAAUUGGCUCAAUACAUCAAAUAUUGAUAAAUUUAUGAUGUUUUUUUUAUUCAAAUUUGUGUUAUGCUGCUUUAAUUUGGUCUGAAUUACAUCAUAAUACCGGUACAUAGAUGCUAUUAAAAGGGAACUACAUGGUAUGUGGUGUGCCCCUUUUCAUUGGUGCAAAAAAGCGACUUGCCAAAUGCUGAUAUUUCAGUGGCCAAAUUUAGUUCGUUUUUGUUUUUAGAAACUAAAUUUUUUUUUAGAUCAAUGUGUUUUGUUUAUUUGAAGUUUUAUUUCUCACUGUGGAUAACUUUUUUUCUCUUUCUGUCAACAUUUUGUGUAGAUGCAUGUUUUAUUAGUACACGUCAUUUCCUUAGAUUCAUUAUUUAAGUAAAUUGUGCAUUUCGUACAUUCCGCGCAUUCUUUUUUAAAAAAAUCUAUCAGUCUCUUAAAAGUGUUAUUUAAUUGUAGGAAUUAGAAAUAUAGAAAAGGAAUAAACAGCGCCAACUU
rnacentral:sRNA from 1 species